rnacentral:misc_RNA from 1 species
GAGUUGGUGACUUUUGAUGGGAAAUAACCUAGGGUUUGGUUACGGAAAUGUGUAAAAUACUUUGAGGUAUAUAAACUUCCAUUGGAUCAAAGAAUUAGUAUUGCAAGUUUGUUUCUGGUGGAUAAAGCAGAUUCUUGGUUCCAUAAUUGGAAUAGGGGAACUCAUACUUGGGAAGAAUUUGAAAAAGGGCUUUGUGGUGGAUUUGGAGAUGUUGGGUUGGAAGAUAUAGUAGAGGAAUUUAUGAAAUUAAGGCAAGAGGGUUCUUUAGAAGAUUAUUUAGAGAAUUUUGAGGAUUUAAGGAUUCAUAUGGAAGGGGUGAUGCCAUAGUUAGGAGAGUCCUAUUUUAUUUCUGGUUUUAUGGGGGGAUUGAGGGUUGAAAUUAGGUUGGUGGUUAGGAUGUUCAAACCUGCUACUUUGGCGGAGGCAGUAGAGAUAACUAAGUUGCGGGAGCAGUUGCUAGGUACCAAGAAAACUAAGACUUUUAUUUGACCUUUCAAUUCUAAUUUUCCUAGAAGCACUGCCAAUUUUAAUUCUAAUUUCUCUUAUUCAAACCCUAAACUUUCUCAAACAUACCCUUACUCUCCUAAACCUCCCAUAACAGAUCAGAACACCAAAUCCGCCAAUCCCACACCUACUAAUCAACCUACUAGAUCCAAUUCUGUUGGCAGUUCCAUUUCAGCUAAUCAACCUUCCAUUUUAGCCAGCAAUGCCAACUCUUCUAAAUCCAAUGUUUCCAACCCUAAAUACUUACCUAAACCUUGUUACAGAUGUGGAAAAAAAUAUUUCCCUGGCCACCAGUGCAAAGCUAAAACACUAGUAGCAAUGCAAGUGACUAAAUAGGAGGAAGGUAGUGGAGAGGACAUUUAGCAUGAGGUAGCAGAAGAAAUUGAAGAUGGAGGUGAGCAGGGAGAGCUUAUGCUAUCCGUACAUUCUGUGGAAGGAUGUGAAGGGGCAGAGACAAUUAAAGUGAUGGGAGUUUAUAAAAAUAGGGAGAUCAUAAUACUAAUUGAUAGUGACAGUAAUCGUAGCUUUAUAGACAGGAAGUUAGCUGAGGAAUUGAAGUUAGAUUUGGUGGAAAUUCCUGGAACUGCCAUAGCAGUAGAUGAUGGUAGGAAACUGAAUUGCAGCCAUCAAUGUAAGCAUUUUGGAUGGCAGAUGCAAUCUUAUAAAUUCCCGUUUGACUUUAGGAUUUUGGAGUUAGGGAGCUUUGAUAUGAUUUUGGGAGUUGAUUGGCUUAGAAGUUUUAAUCUAGUACUAUUUGAUUUCAAAGUAUCUAGAAUUUCUUUUGUUAAGGAUGGGAAAGUAGUGGUGUUGCAGGGUGUGGGCAAGACAGGUGAAGUGUUAGCACCUGUUUUAUGUUCUGUUGAGGAAUUAUUUCUGAGGAAGGAGAAGGAUUUCAAGUCUCCAUUGUUGUGUAUAGUGGAUUCCUCAAAAUCUUCAGGAUCUUCAUUACCUGAAUAAGUAUCAGCAGCAGUAAAUGAAGCAGGUGCCAGCUCUGUUUCUGGUAAUGAAGCACUGCAGUUGUUAUUGCAGAAAUAUCAGGAAGUUUUCCAUGAACCUCAUUGGUUGUCUCCCUUUAGAAGUCAUAAUCAUGCAAUCCCCUUGCUGCACCAAACUCAGCUAGUCACUAUCAGGCCAUAUAGGUACCCCUAUCACCAAAAAGCAGAAAUUGAGAAGUUGGUAAAUGAAAUGCUAGCUUCUUCAGUAAUUCAACCUAGCAGUAGCCCUUAUUCAUCUUCAGUUUAAUUGGUCAGGAAGAAGGAUGGAAUUUGGAGAUUCUACAUUGAUUAUAGAACAUUGAAUGAGGUGACCGUCAAGGAUAAGUUUCCUAUUCCUAUUAUUGAUGAAGUCUUGGAUGAACUUCAUGGGGCUAGGUAUUUUUCAAAAAUUGAUUUGAAAGCAGGGUACCAACAAAUUAGAAUGCAUCCUAAGGACAUUCCCAAGACUGCAUUCAGAACUCACCAUGGCCACUUUGAAUUCAAUGUGAUGCCCUUUGGGCUUACUAAUGCCCCUGCCACAUUUCAGGCUUUGAUGAAUCACAUUUUCAAACCUUUUCUCAGAAAAUCUGUUCUAGUAUUCUUUGAUGAUAUUCUUGUGUAUAGCAAAGAUUGGGAUUCUCAUUUGAAGCAUUUGGAGGAGGUGUUUCAGGUCUUGAAAGAACAGCAGCUGUAUGCAAAGCAAUCCAAAUGUUCUUUUGGACAGACUGAAGUGGAGUAUUUAGGCCAUAUAAUCACAACAGGAGGAGUUUCCACUGAUCCCAAAAAGAUUCAGGCUAUGGUACAAUGGCCCACACCUGUUUCAGUCAGGGAAUUAAGAAAAGUUUUCUUGGUUUAACAGGGUACUACAGAAAAUUUGUAAGAAAUUAUGGGUUAAUUAGUAAGCCACUGACUGAUCUAUUAAAAAAGGACUCUUUUCAGUGGUCUGAUUCAGCCCAGAAAGCUUUUGAUACUUUGAGAACAGCUAUGGCAGAAGCUUCAGUCCUUGCCUCACCAGAUUUUACUUUUCCAUUUUUAAUUGAGACUGAUGCUAGUAGUUGGGGAAUGGGGGCUGUAUUGCAGCAAAAAGGGCAUCCUUUGGCUUAUAUCUCAAAAGCUUUUGGUCCUAGAAGUACGGCUUUAUCUGUCUAUGAAAGAGAAUUACUGGCAAUUACUUUUGCAGUCUCAAAGUGGAGACAUUACUUGGAGCAAGGGCAGUUUUUCAUUCAAACUGAUCAUGAAAGUAUAAAAU